UACGGAGGGUGCAAGCGUUAUCCGGAAUCACUGGGUUUAAAGGGUGCGUAGGCGGCGCAAUAAGUCAGAGGUGAAAGCCUGCGGCUCAACCGUAGAAUUGCCUUUGAUACUGCUGCGCUUGAAUCAGGUUGAGGUUGGCGGAAUGUGGCAUGUAGCGGUGAAAUGCAUAGAUAUGCCAUAGAACACCAAUUGCGAAGGCAGCUGACUGGACCUGUAUUGACGCUGAGGCACGAAAGCGUGGGGAGCAAACAGG
rnacentral:rRNA from 1 species